AAUCUCAAGGUUAUUUGUUUCUUCAGACAUAAUGAACCACCACCACCAUUUCGUUCCUGACUUCGAGGCCGAUGAUGAUUAUGUCAACGCUAACACAAACUCUUCUUCUUCAAAUCUUCCUAGAAAACCCAUCAUGUAAGUAAGUUUUCACCUUUUUUUAUUAUUUAUUUAAUUUAUGUUGAGAUAUGUUUUUGAUCUGUGAUUAAUAAUACAGAGGGGAAGAAGAAGAUGGUGAUCUCAUGGAGCUUCUAUGGCACAACGGUCAGGUGGUUCUCCAAAAUCAAAGACCAAACACCAAGAAACAACCUCCUUCUUCUUCUUCUUCCUCUGCUC
rnacentral:lncRNA from 1 species